ACUCUUUCAUCCCUGUACUGUCCAAACCCCUUAUGCAAGAGUUAACCAGCAUCUUCACUCUUUCAUCCCUAUACUGUCCAAACCCCUUAUGCAAGAGUUUACCAGCAUCUUCACUCUUUCAUCCCUAUACUGUCCAAACCCCUUAUGCAAGAGUUAACCAGCAUCUUCACUCUUUCAUCCCUAUACUGUCCAAACCCCUUAUGCAAGAGUUAACCAGCAUCUUCACUCUUUCAUCCCUAUACUGUCCAAACCCCUUAUGCAAGAGUUAACCAGCAUCUUCACUCUUUCAUCCCUAUACUGUCCAAACCCCUUAUGCAAGAGUUAACCAGCAUCUUCACUCUUUCAUCCCUAUACUGUCCAAACCCCUUAUGCAAGAGUUAACCAGCAUCUUCACUCUUUCAUCCCUAUACUGUCCAAACCCCUUAUGCAAGAGUUAACCAGCAUCUUCACUCUCUCAUCCCUAUACUGUCCAAACCCCUUAUGCAAGAGUUAACCAGCAUCUUCACUCUUUCAUCCCUAUACUGUCCAAACCCCUUAUGCAAGAGUUCACCAGCAUCUUCACUCUUUCAUCCCUAUACUGUCCAAACCCCUUAUGCAAGAGUUAACCAGCAUCUUCACUCUUUCAUCCCUAUACUGUCCAAACCCCUUAUGCAAGAGUUAACCAGCAUCUUCACUCUUUCAUCCCUAUACUGUCCAAACCCCUUAUGCAAGAGUUAACCAGCAUCUUCACUCUUUCAUCCCAAUACUGUCCAAACCCCUUAUGCAAGAGGUAACCAGCAUCUUCACUCUUUCAUCCCUAUACUGU